rnacentral:rRNA from 1 species
CACGUAGGGACCUAACGUUGUUCGGAAUCAUUGGGCGUAAAGGGCGCGCAGGCGGCAUCUCAAGUCUGGUGUUAAAUGGUCGGGCUCAACCCGAUCAUGCGCUGGAAACUGGGAUGCUUGAGUCCAGGAAGGGAUGCCGGAAUUCCAGGUGUAGGGGUGAAAUCUGUAGAUAUCUGGAAGAACACCGAUGGCGAAGGCAGGCAUCUGGCCAUGGACUGACGCUGAGGCGCGAAGGUGCGGGGAGCAAACAGGUUUAGAUACCCUGGUAGUCCGCACAGUAAACGAUGUGCACCAGGAGUCGGGCAGCAGUGUUCGGUUCCGUAGCAAACGCAAUGAGUGCACCGCCUGGGGAGUAUGCUCGCAAGGGUGAA